GAUAAUGUCGAAGUGGAGAGGGUCUAUGAGGUGUUGUGCAAGCCUUAUUGGAUCUAAAACUCUGCACAGGCAUUGCCGACAUCUGCUCGAUAUGUGCAUUUUUUUUAUUGCGACCUACACCUCAGCACCAAUGCAAAACGAAAUCCUCGAAUUGUUGAGAAGACACACUGUCAGGUUCGUGGUCGAUGUUUAUUUGAAAUUAUAUAAAAAUAAUGUUUAAAGAUUUGGCUGUUAUCUCUAGCAUAUAGAAAUACCUUUUAGGCUUAACUAUUUGCUUCUUGAAAAUCAUUAAAAAAUAUUUGAGUCAAUACAUUCAACUAAAAAUUCGAGGUGAUACCCCAGCAUGGCCUCAGUUAUUACAGCAAAUAAAAUAUAAAAAACAAUACAAUUUAUAUCAGAAGUUUUGACCAGGUUAGGCGUCAAGAAAUGUGGGGGCGAAAAAAACCCCGAAAAAUAUAAGCAUGGGGCUUUUGUCCACUUUCACACUUUAAGUAGGAGCUUUUGUCCGUACCCCUGUUCAGCACCCCCAGUUGCAAUCGGCUAGCUACGUGGCUGCUAGUGACUUAGAAGUAAUCAGACGUUAGCAAUAAUUUUCAGAUGAAUUUACACGUUAUGAAAACUAAAACUAAUGAAAAAAAAAAAAAAAGCGAAUACAGAAGAUGGAAAUAUGCCAUUCAGUGAACAUUCUGAUCAUUUUAAAUGUAGGUGUGAAACAUUUGCUGUCCUCAUUUUCAUAGUCCCCUUCGUAAAAAAUAUUGGGAGUAACGGUCUCCAAUGUCAAGUUCCAAUAUCAUGAUCUAAUUUUCUGGUGAAUUGACUUGCGACAUGUUCAGAAAACUAUAAAUAACGACAAAAAAAAAAAAAAAAAAAAAAAGAGACUAGGCCACAACGGAGACUAGAUCAUCCAACACUAGUUCAAGUAAAUUUGAACCAACUGAAAACAAGCAUCAUUUGGUGUCAAAAUAUUUUUAUGCACCAAUGAUUCUACUAUUUACUGGCUGGUUUCACCAGCUAGUAACAAGAAUCUGGCUAGUUUAACAGAUUUAGAAGCAAUCGUUAGAAAUAUACGUUUAUGAAGAAUUCACAUGCGAUAUGUUAAAAAAACUAAACUAUAAAUACAGGAAAAGGAAAAACGAUAUAAAAAUAAAUGUGGAACUUCUUGUCAAUAUACCAUUCGGUCAAUGACUUUCAGAUAAUUGUAAACGUAUGAAUAAAUUCGGAGUCCUCAUUUAUAGAAUCUUGUCCGCAAAAAUCUCGAGGCCAGUCCUCCCAUCGAGAUCAAACGAUACACUUGGACUGUAUAUCCCAGUUUUGAAAAUGGUACAUUAGCACAAUGAUGUCCACGUAGGCCAUAUGCGGCAUCUACAUCCGAACUAGAUCGUGAUAUCUCUCGAGGGACAACGCAUGUAAGACCGAAACUCCCGGGGCUAGAAAUAGCCUUUCUCGACCUAGCCAAAGCCUUCGAUACUGUCUCGCAUUCCCUCGUUUCUGCGGGCAUGAGGAGGCUCGGUUACCACGACCACCUGAUUCGAUUAGUGGGACAGCUAUACGAGGGCUGUACCACUACCUUCACGAUAGGGACCGGUAGUAGCGCGCCCAUUGAGAUAAAGCGCGGUGUUCGACAGGGAGACGCCCUAUCACCCUUUUAACAUCGCGACCGAUCCACUGCUGGACAGCCUGCCCGCAAAUAUGGGUCUGCAGGUCGGAGGUGCGGUCGUGGCGGGCCUCGCAUACGCGGAUGACUUAGUGCUAGUCUCCGGCUCUAGCCGGGGUCUACAGUGCCUCUUAGAUCGGUGCUCGGAGUCCUACCAAGCGGUGGGGCUCUCCAUUAACGUUUCCAAGUGCGCGUGGUUCUCCAUUCGAAAUUGGAGAAAGUCUUUAGUCAAUGCGUCAUCGCCGCCGACACUAUGGUUGUCCGGUACCACGAGUCGAGCCGGAUGAAAGCGUGCCGUACUUAGGGAUGAGGGUUCGUCCCCGGUCGACACAGAAUAGGGGAACAUCAGAUGAGAACAUAACGCGAUGCAUAAACGAACUACGCCGGGCACCGCUAAAGAAGUUUUUGAUGCUACAACAGUAUUACCUGCCUAGUCUGUUUUACAGGCUGACACAGGCGAUACCCACUAAGGUGGCGUUAGAGAAAUUGGAUAUGAUUGUACGAGGUGGGGCGCGAAGAAUGCUCCAUCUCCCGGACUCGACCUCGAAAAGCUUCCUGUACAGCGCAAGAAGGGACGGAGGGUUGAACCUCUGUCAGUUGGCGCGCGCUAUACCGAAGAACGUGAUUCGUAGGAACCUGCGUUUACUGGGCUCCGAAUAUGACGCUGUUCGCAUGAUAGCUCAGGCUGCCGAUCUCGCCCAUCAAAACGAGGAGCUAUCCGCCCUGUUCGAUCUACCAUCUGUCCGAAAUGAUGGCAAUCCAUACGCCCCUGACCUCCGCCUCAUCCAUGCCAAGAGAUGGGCCUCGCAACCGGUCCAGGGAGUGUGUGCUGCCGCCUUCAAAUCGGACCCGAUUGGAAACAGUUGGCUGACACGACUGGGUUGAAUCUCGGAGGGAUGCUACUUGGGGAUACUCAAGAUGAGGACCAACACGUUUCCCACACGUGAAUGCCUCACCCGUGGAGGUCGUGGCGAUAGCACCUGCAAAAGGUGCGGAAGUGCGUCUGAAACGAUCUCCCACAUCAGUGGCCAGUGCUCACGCCUCAAAACAAAGAGACUGACCAGGUACACUCGAAUAUGCCGACUGUUGGCUAGGGAAGCUGAGCGGUAUGGGUGGAUGACCGGCUGGGAGCCGGUUUAUCGAGUAUCGGGGUCCAGAUAUAUCCCCGAUUUAGUGUUUCACAACUCUAGCGAGGUUGUCAUCGUUGAUGUUACCGUCCGAUAUGAGCAGGACACGGCGUUGAGUGACGCUGCGCGCGAGAAAGAGAAAAUACCGGCCGCUAAUUCCGCUCCUCCGAGGGGAGCUGGGUGUACUGGUACGAGUGUUCGGCUGCCCGAUAGGGGCCUGCGGCGCAUGGUGCUCAGAGGCCGAGGAAGCAUUGGCAGCACUGCACAUUAAAGACAAACGUUUCAUGAGGCUGCUAAGCAGAACUGCAAUGAUCUGCACGUUUAACAUGUUAAGGAAUUGAUAGGCUUAAGGAAUUGAUGCCACUCGAGUUCCUGUCGGAUCCGACACGGAAUACCCCUUCGAUGAGGUCCUCACCUGGAUUUUUUUUUGAGGACUGGUGUGUCGGAGACCCCUCAGUUUUAAAAAAAAUUUUUAAAGUUUUAUUUAAUUUUUUUUCUACGAGGUGGUAGCAAGGCCUGUGUACCUUGCUUCGGCAGGAACUUUGAUUUAUAUACCGAUUUUGAAGAAAAUUUUGUAGUGUCCCAUCUAUGUCGCCCCCUAGUGAGUAAUAAAGAAAAUCAUUUGCAACACCACUAUCUCCUUCACCAAUUCGUUGUAGAAAAGAGCGAAAUUAAAAGUACUAAACUGCUGAGAAUUUGUUUAAGAAACUUCGUCAAAUAUCUCUUAUAGACCAACAAUACGGAAACCUAAAGGUAAGUUCACCGUGAAGAAAAUUCACCGAGGAAAUAUAUCCAUAGUAAGAGUUAAAAACUAUUUUAUCGGAAAAGAGAAAAAACGGUGAAUUUUCUUUGAGAUGAAUUUAUAGCGGUGAACUUACUGGAUAUAGCUCUCUUUUUUUUUUUUUUACUUUGAAUUUAUUCGAUAUAUUUUUAAAUAUUCAAAUGCUUGUAAGAAUUGUAAACUGACUUUAUAAUUAUUUUUUUUAUUUUAUGUGCAAACAUAGUAAUGGAAUGGUUUGGAUUCAGUAGAUUACAUUGUAAUUUUAUCUUGCAGUAACAUUCUAUCCAGGUGUAAAAAUAUUUCUCUCGCAAAUAUUAAUUCAAAAAUGUAUUAAUUUCAAUGAAUACUGUCUUUCAAAUCACGGUACUACGUGCGACAGACGAGAAUACCAAGCGACGCCACACCACGGAUGCCGCCCAGGGGGCGUUCAGAUGGACCUGACGGGGGAGAGGAAAACCCUGGACUCGACAUAAGAAAGAAAGAGAAGAGGAAAAAGGAAAGAAGAAAAGAGACAACAAUCGUCUGACAGACGAGAAUACCAAGCGACGCCACACCACGGAUGCCGCCCAGGGGGCGUUCAGAUGGACCUGACGGGGGAGAGGAAAACCCUGGACUCGACAUAAGACCCGGUUAUGACAACCGCCGAAAUGAAGUCUGGCGCCGUGAAUUCGAUCACUGGCCAUGGCAGAGCGGGACGGGCAAACAUCGGAUGGACAGCGUGCGCGUCGCUAUCGACGGAGUGCGUGUGGGACCGCCCACAUAAAAUAACAGGGAAAGAGUGUGAGAAAAUCUAUAAUACCAUAGCCAAAUGCCUCGUCAUCUAAUUAGUGACGCGCAUGAACGGAUCAACGAGAUUCCUACUUUCCCUAUCUACUGUCUAGCGAACGGGCUUGGACGGAUCGGCGGGGAAAGAAAACCCUGUUGAGCUUGACUCAGAAGUCAUAGACAUUAUGAACACAAAACUGGGAGUGAUAGUUGAAGAGAGAAAACCUCGCCGUUUUAAAUGUGGGCUUUGAAGGUCACGUAAGGACUGAAUGCAAGAAAAAAACAGAAAAAGAAGGCGAGGAGGAAGACAACCAAGUGGCAACAAAAGAAAUAGAGAAACAGAAUGAUAAUCAACAGUUAUCGCCAAGCUAAUUUGGCAGUCCAUAAAUAUAAGACUGCAGAUGCCUGACCAGCAAGGGGAAGCGGCUGACCUCCCCUUUUCAAUGGUUAUAAUGGACACAUGUUCGUGUGUCAUAUAGCUAGCUAGAGGCGAUGGCCUCUUGGAGCUAAUCAACGGCAGCUUUAGUCUUAUAGUUCACUUGGUCAGUUACAGUGAUCAUAAAUUUGUCAUUUGUAAGCUGGAACUAGAUAAGUUAAAUAGUAGAGGCUCCGGCUACUGCAAACUCAAUAAGUCCCUUUUGGCGAUUGAGGAGUAUACGAAACGGAUUAAGUUAUUGAUAUAGAGGGCAUUGACAAGAAGCAUAAUUUACAAUAAAAGGUAGUACGCCCUAAAAAGAGCCAUCAAAUUUGAGUAUUAGAUAUAGCAUAGGUUUAGUGAACGUAAGAGGGAAGUAGAACUAGCUAAGACCUUAGAGGAAGCCGUGAUGACUGGCAGUACAUCUCAGGUGAAGGCAAAGAGACUGGAAUUAAACCAGCACCUCGAAGCCAAACACAUGGGGUGUAUUGUCAGGGCUAGACUUCGUGCAAUGGGUUGCGAGGGGAUCAGAGCCGCUGGAUGGGCCCCGAGUGGUGGAAGCCCAACGUGGAAAUGAUUCCACAAUUCGAUCUUUGGAGAACCUACAAGGUGAGUUGGUAAACGAGCCUGAGGAGAUAUGUAAGACUUUUCAGGAGCACUUCGCCCAGCAUUUCGGGGGUGGGGAGCGAUGGACCGGAUAGUGCUUCUCGGAAAGCACACGAUGAACGAAAGUCUGAACCAACUGAAAUAUGUUAUCAGUUGGGGGUUUCUUUCUGCUGGAUUUUGCAAAAUAUUACUUUUUAUACACCAUUGUAUCCACUGA